rnacentral:rRNA from 1 species
CCUGCCCUGUGACUAUAUGUUUAACGGCCGCGGUAUUUUAACCGUGCGAAGGUAGCGCAAUCACUUGUCUUUUAAAUGGAGACCUGUAUGAAUGGCAUCACGAGGGCUUAGCUGUCUCCCCUCCCCAGUCAAUGAAAUUGAUCUCCCCGUGCAGAAGCGGGGAUAAAAACAUAAGACGAGAAGACCCUAUGGAGCUUUAGACGUCUAGAGCAGCUCAUGUUAAGCACCCCCAAACAAAGGGACAAACCAAAUGUAGGCCUGCUUUUAUGUCUUUGGUUGGGGCGACCGCGGGGAAAUAUAAAACCCCCAUGUGGAAUGGGAGCACACACUCCUAAAUCCAAGAGCUCCCGCUCUAAUAAACAGAAAUUCUGACCAACAAGAUCCGGCACAUGCCGAUCAACGGACCGAGUUACCCUAGGGAUAACAGCGCAAUCCCCUUAAAGAGCCCUUAUCGACAAGGGGGUUUACGACCUCGAUGUUGGAUCAGGACAUCCUAAUGGUGCAGCCGCUAUUAAGGGUUCGUUUGUUCAACGAUUAAAGUCCU